UCCCCUCAUCCAGAUCUGCCUCUGUACAAACCAAACGUCUUCAUUUCCCCCUGCUCUGUGCUUCCUUCUUAAUUAUAUUCAGCUCAUCUCUAAAGCUUCCCCAAAAGCUCUGCCAUGAGUAGCCCGAAGGGUGGCACGGCUCAAGGGCCGCCUGUGAUGGUUGCCCCACAGUAUGCUGCUGCUCCAUCAUCAUCAGGAAAAACUUCCAGGUUUCUUGAACAAUGCGUCUCUUUAUUGUGCUUUUGCUGCAUCUUGGAUGGGUGCUGCUGCGACCCCUCGGCACUUCUCGUCUUCUGAUCAUGCUCUUUUACUGCCCCUUUCUUUUUUUUUUCUUUUUUUUUUUUGUUCAGCUUCAGAAUUGUGGAGUCUGUUGAUUGAUGAUGAAUUAUAAAGAAUACACGCUACUGUUGGGUUCAGGAGGGCGGCCAUGUUAUGCUGAGAUUGUUGCAUAAAAGAC